rnacentral:lncRNA from 1 species
AUCCGGAUGCAAAUACGUGUUGAAUGUUAAAUUUUUAUUAUUAUAUCUGUUUAAAACGGAUUUAAAUUUAUAUAUAAGUUGGAUUUGUAUUUGAAUAUUAUUGAGAUAAUAUAUAUUAUAUAUAUGCUAAUAUGUAUAUAUAUAAAUAUGAACUAAAAUUAGUGCGAAUAAAAUGAAUAAUGCAAUUGAAGAUUCCUCCUUGUUUUCGAACUUCGUAUAUCUAUAUUUUAUUAUUUUAUACAAUAAAAUUUAAUAUUUUAAUUAAUAUAAAUAUAAUUUUAAUAUAAAAUCUAUAGUAAAAUAAAUGAAAAUAUGAUA